AACAGCUUCUGAAGUUCUCCCACUUCUCUCGAGACAGUCAAGUAAGAUAUUGUAUGUCACUAUGUUAGGAUAACAGCCAGCUGCAAGCAUUUCAUCGAAUAGCCGACGUGCCAUCUCAACUUUUUCAGUCUUCCCAAAGCACUCAAUGAGAGUGCUGUAUGUUACAACAUCAGGAUUCAAGCCCUUCUCCUGCAUCUCAAUGAAUUUCAUGUGUGCUUCAUCAAUGUCUCCGUUCUUUCCCAGACAAUUUAUCAAGGAGUUGUAGGAGACAAUAUCAGGUUUACAAUUGCUAUUCUCAAGUUCUUCAAAAAUCUUGAGAGCUUCCCCAACCUCCCCCGCUCUA
rnacentral:misc_RNA from 1 species